AUGUAUUUAACCACCUAUGUGGUCUCGUGGUAGCUUGGUAACCUCGAGUGCGAGAGAUCAGGGCAUAUAUUUCAAGCCGGGUCACCAAAGACUGGGACAUUAGUAUUAAUUGCUUCUCCGCCAAGUCCGCGGCAAUUAGUAGUAAAAUCAUUGACUGUUCGGCACUUUAACAGAAUAAUGUGUCCGAGAACGGUGACUUUCUCUUCUGUUGAUUGAAACCUUGUGAAUGAUCAAUAUUGAGAAUAUCGCGCAGCGUGUAAUUCUAAAACAAAGCAAGCUAGGUGUAAUUGACCAAUUAUCAUGUUCUCCUCCUGGAUAUAUUCAAUUAAUUUACCAAUAGAAGUUUUAACAGUCAUCAAUCCAUCAUUGAAUAUAUAUUUUUUUUCUUAAUAGGAUAUUUAUUUUCUUAUAUUUCUUUUAGAAAGAUGAACAAUAUUAUGA
rnacentral:lncRNA from 1 species